CGCUCCUCGACUCCGCUUUACUCAGCAGGGGCCUUCGAGUCCCCCCAACUCCCAAACCUCGCCUCGUCGGACUCCGCUGUCUCCGCACGAACUCUCCCUCCCAAUCGCCGCCGCAAAAGUACCCAAUCCAGGGGUUCUCAUCCGUCCGGGAGCCACUCGGUGUUGUGUUCGAGGAGUGACCUCGAUUUCGAUUGCUUAUGGAGAAUUCGGCGGCUCCGUCGGAUCCUUCUCCCGAGGCGUCGCCGCAAGGAGGCCGCGACCGAGAGUCAUCUGACCAGGAUGGAAACAUCAAAGGAGAGAUUUCAACGGCUCAUCAUUCUCGGCGGCCAAACCUUACCACUUUGCAGAUACCUGCAAGAACCUUGGAAAUUCCGUUGCCUUCUGCAAGAUCAAAUGUUUUGUCCAGUCCUGGUUCAGUAAGGGCAGGCUUGCCACCCAGGCCUAGUUCAACAAGGGCAAAAUCAUCCAUCAGAAGUCUUUUCCCACAAAGGAGUCUUAAGACCAAAAACUCUACUCCAGAGGGUGAUAGAACAGUUCUCCUGAUUCCUCGAACACCUUCUUCAGAAGGACCACAAGAACAGGCAUCAACAUCAAGGCAGUUCUUUAUUACCAAGGUCUUACCCUCUACCAAGGCCUUGUCCUCUGGUUCAACCAAUAGAACACACUCUUUACCUGUGACACCAGUUGCCAAUUGUGGUCCAUCAGCUGUGCAGGAAAGACAUGCGAUUGACCUCUCCAAUCUGCAAAAAAGCAAUGUGCAGACACAAAUCAGACGUUCAUUUUCCGUUCCUGGGAAUGCCAAGAAUGGAAGUUUACGGAGAAUGGAUUCAAUAGGUCUUGUCCGAGUUAUUUCAGCAACCCCUCGUCCUGUCGCUGUAGACAAUGCCAUUGAAAAUGAUGAUAUAGAGGCAGUUAACGUAACUGAAGAUGAAGGUCAAGAUAUUCCGGAAGAAGAGGCAGUCUGCCGGAUAUGUUUAGUCGAACUUGCAGAAGGGGGAGAAACUCUUAAAAUGGAAUGUAGCUGCAAAGGAGAACUUGCACUUGCACACCAAGAAUGUGCUAUAAAAUGGUUUAGCAUUAAGGGAAAUAAGACAUGUGAUGUGUGCAAGCAGGAAGUGCGAAACCUCCCUGUGACAUUGCUCAGACUACAGAAUCGUCAGACUGUUAAUAGGCGCCAGCCAAAUGCAACUCAGCGACAAGAAGCUGCUCCCUACCGGGUAUGGCAGGAUGUCCCUGUUCUUGUCAUGGUCAGCAUGCUUGCCUAUUUCUGCUUCUUGGAGCAACUUCUAGUUACUGAAAUGGGCUCACGUGCUCUUGCUAUAUCUUUGCCUUUUUCUUGUGUUCUCGGUCUCCUUUCUUCCAUGAUUGCUUCAACAAUGGUUACAGUGAGCAAGAGCUACAUUUGGGCUUAUGCAUCUUUCCAGUUUGCAAUUGUAAUCCUCUUUGCUCAUAUCUUUUAUAACGUGCUAAGAGUAAGCCCCGUUCUCUCAGUGUUACUUUCCUCAUUCACUGGGUUUGGAAUUGCAAUCAGUACAAAUGCAUCACUUGUUGAGUAUUUAAGAUGGAGGGCUAGGCGGAAUUUACGUUUGGCACAGCAACAAAGUGACAAUAGGCAGCAGCAAGAAUCCAGAAACCUACCUGAAGUUGAAAAUGGAGGUAAUGUUAGGCAGCAUGAAUCAGAGAACCAGAUCCAGAAUCCUGACCCUUCUCAACAAGGAUGAAAUCAUUUAUCAUUACUUUUGAGGGAAAAAUGGCCAUGGCAGCUGAAGCUUGGUUGGUCUUCAUCUCCGUAUUGCCGGUUACUUCCGAAGCAUGACAUGAAAAACUGUGCAACGAGGACUAUAAGUCUUCCACCUUUACUACUCGGCUAAGGAUGAGUACAUUAAAAUGUGCAAGGAGCUAUGUCUCCAAGUACUAAUUCUGUGUCCUCCGUACAUCGAUGAGUAGAUUAAAAUGAGCAAGGAGGAGCCAUGUCUCCAAGUACUAAUUCUGUGUAUUCCAUACUUCCUCCAGUUCAGAUGAGAAUAUUGUUCUACCAAAAUGGUUACAGAUGCAUGCAAUAAAUGGAUGUUUAUGUACUAGAUGUCAAUUUGUACUCCUAUGAAGAGAUGAAAACAUGAGAUGGCUGUGUGGAAUGUAAUUUGUUACCCAUUACACAUCUCUUUUAAAGUGGUUUCUGUUGACAAAUGCUUAGAUGAAUAUUAA